CAGCCGCCACGGUAAUACGUAGGUGGCAAGCGUUGUCCGGAAUUAUUGGGCGUAAAGGGCUCGCAGGCGGUUUCUUAAGUCUGAUGUGAAAGCCCCCGGCUCAACCGGGGAGGGUCAUUGGAAACUGGGAAACCUGAGUGCAGAAGAGGAGAGUGGAAUUCCACGUGUAGCGGUGAAAUGCGUAGAGAUGUGGAGGAACACCAGUGGCGAAGGCGACUCUCUGGUCUGUAACUGACGCUGAGGAGCGAAAGCGUGGGGAGCGAACAGGAUUAGAUACCCCUGUAGUCCCUGUCUCUUAUAC
rnacentral:rRNA from 1 species